rnacentral:lncRNA from 15 species
AAAAACACAACUGCAAACCCAGAAAAGAGAAGAAAGGCUGUUUUUCUUCGUAAGGGAAGAGCAAUCUUUCUCUUCUGCUGCCUUCCUCUCCCCCUCAGCACAAUGCCGGACACUCAGCUGUGUUUGGAGGCCCUGUCGGUUCUCUCCGGCUGCAACGUCGAGGCCACCAGCGGACCCUCCCUGCUCACCCCGCAGGACUUUGUCAACAUCGUGGCCCUCAAGCAGUUUUACAAGCAGGAGGGGUUUGAACAGCUGGAGUACCCCAGUUUAGGGACUUUAUCCCUGCAGGAUCUGGACGAUAAGGACAUGUAUAGCUCCCCACUGGCGCUGACUGAAGGCCCUGGGCCGGAAGAGAGUCUUGGACCCACUGUUAAGAUCAACCCCGAGGACUUCUUCCACCCUCAGUACAACUACGACUUCACCAACAUAAAGGAUGGCGACACCAAGUUCAUGCGUGGUAAUGAGCUGUACAUUCGUCCCUGCGGGUGGAACCGGGCCGCCCUGCGUGUCGUCCAGAAGUAUGAUGACGGAGACUCCUGGCUCGGUACCGGGAAAGACUCCUGGCCUGUCUCCUACAAUGGACACAACAUGGACGGCUCCCUCGGCAUCAUCCUGACCCGUGGCGGGAACCCCGCCGAUGAGCCCGGGUUCCUGGAAGCCGCUGCCAACUCUCUGCUCACUGAGGAGACGAAGGGCAGAGGGGUGUACUCCACGCCAGACAUCAAGACGGCGGAGAAGUAUUGCAAGAAGUUCAAGUCCAAAGUGGACGGGAAGACAUACAAAGUGGUUCUCCAGAACCGCAUCAACCCAAAGAAGAGAGUGAAGUGCCAGAGAGAAGACAUCUGGUUGGUCUACGUCCCUGAAGGCUCAAACGAUGUCAAGACGAGGGCCAUCGUGCAGGAGUCCGUCCGCCCGUACGGGCUGCUUGUGAAAAAGGUGUGAUGUGUCUUCAGAGUUAUCAGAGGCAGAUAAAUUCUUCAUUAUCAACAAAAAAACCUCACAAAAAAUGUUUCACACUCCAGUGAGAUCAAGUUAAUGCUACUAAAAGCAGUGUUUCAUUGAGCCAUGUAUGAUUGUUGAUGUAUGAAUAACCAACAACACAGUAUGGCCUUUUUCUUACAUGUUAUCAAAAAUAAUGCUGAGUUCUUCCCACAAAAUGGCGACCGUAUCCUACUUUACUGUCUCACUGUACUGGGGACUUUAAGCUGACCAUCAGCUGCUUUAUUCUGACCCCUCUAGAAAUCAGUUUAACUGUAAUGAAUUUAACUUCUAGAAAAAAGUAAGAAAAUGAACAUGCUUUUGUGGUUUCAACUGUACAUUGUACACACUGAACAGCAGCAGUGGUCAAACUCGGUUUAGCUCUCCAUAUGAUGUGUUCAAAUGUAAGAAAAGACUAGAGUUGUUCUGAUACUAGCGUCAGAAAUUCCUCCAAUACCGCCCAAAAUGUACACCAAUCCACUUCCAUUUAUUUUAUUUAAAGGUUUUAACCUGAGCCAGCCCAUACAACAAUGAUGGAAAUCAUACAGGCUUAGUAGUAUAAACUUUAAAAUAAAAAAAUAUAUAUCGGAUCAGUACUCGGUAACAUCUCUAGAAAAGACUGCAGGAAAGAGAAAGCAAGAUGCAAUCCUCAAACAGGUCUAAGGCCCUUUGCAUCUGAAGUUGAUUCAUGCUGCCAUCUAGUGGAAUAUAAU